rnacentral:sRNA from 1 species
UCGUAGACAAACAGUUUAAUAGGUCCCGC